rnacentral:rRNA from 1 species
ACGAACGCUGGCGGCGUGCUUAACACAUUCCAGUCGAACCGAAAGGCCCUGCUUUUGUGUGGUGCUCGAUUGGCGAACGGGUGAGUAUCUCGUGAGUAACCUGCCCUUGACUUUGGGAUAACUUCAGGAAACUGGCGCUUAUACCGGAUAGGCUCUCCUGCUGCUUGGUGGGGGUUGGUAAGUUUCGGGGGUUGGGGAUGGAAUCGCGGCUUAUCAGCUUGUUGGUGGGGUAGUGGCUUACCAAGGCUUUGACGGGUAGCCGGCCUGAGAGGGUCACCGGGAAAAAGGGGACGGAGAUAAGGACCAGAGGGCAACGGGAGGCAGCAGGGGGGAAGAGGGAAAAAUGGGCGGAAGCCUGAGGCAGAAACGCCGGGUGGGGGAAGAAGGCCUGGGGGGAGAAAACCGAAUUGGGCUGAGACGAAGAGUGAGUGACGGUAAUGGGAAAAGAAGCACCGGCUAACUACGUG